rnacentral:lncRNA from 1 species
AAUAUAAAAACUUACACUAUGAUAUCAAUGAGUUUGUAAAACAUAUGUGAUAUUUUUCAUUAGUAAUAGACGAAGUUUAGUUCUGUUUCAUUAAUCCACAAGGAUAUUUAGGGACUAACUCAUAUAUGUGAUAUUUCUGAAGCUCAACGAUUUGCAUUAUUUAUUCAAAAAAUACCUCUAAAAAUCUAUAUUAGUGCAUAUUAUAUAAGAUCAAU